rnacentral:rRNA from 1 species
CUACGGGCGGCAGCAGUGGGGAAUAUUGCACAAUGGGGGAAACCCUGAUGCAGCAACGCCGCGUGGAGGAUGACGCAUUUCGGUGUGUAAACUCCUUUUAUAUAGGAAGAUAAUGACGGUACUAUAUGAAUAAGCACCGGCUAACUCCGUGCCAGCAGCCGCGGUAUACGGAGGGUGCAAGCGUUACUCGGAAUCACUGGGCGUAAAGCGCGCGCAGGCGGCCCCUUAAGUUGGAUGUGAAAGCCUACGGCUUAACCGUAGAACUGCAUCCAAAACUGAGGGGCUAGAGUCUGGGAGGGGAAGAUGGAAUUAGUUGUGUAGGGGUAAAAUCCGUAGAGAUAACUAGGAAUACCAAAAGCGAAGGCGAUCUUCUGGAACAGUACUGACGCUGAGGCGCGAAAGCGUGGGGAGCAAACAGGAUUAGAUACCCUGGUAGUC